rnacentral:rRNA from 1 species
GGGGAAUCUUCCGCAAUGGGCGCAAGCCUGACGGAGUGACGCCGCGUGGGGGACGAAGGCCUUCGGGUCGUAAACCCCUGUCAGAGGGAAAGAGGGGCGGCGCGGUGAACAGCCGCGUCGCUUGACGGUACCUUCAGAGGAAGCCCCGGCUAACUCCGUGCCAGCAGCCGCGGUAAUACGGAGGGAGCUAGCGUUGUUCGGAAUUACUGGGCGUAAAGCGCGCGUAGGCGGCAUAGCAAGUCAGGGGUGAAAUCCCGGGGCUCAACCCCGGAACUGCCUUUGAAACUGCUAAGCUAGAAUCCUGGAGAGGCGAGUGGAAUUCCGAGUGUAGAGGUGAAAUUCGUAGAUAUUCGGAAGAACACCAGUGGCGAAGGCGACUCGCUGGACAGGUAUUGACGCUGAGGUGCGAAAGCGUGGGGAGCAA